AUCUUAUUCAGGCUACAUAAAGCUCGCUGAACACCUCAUAUAAUCAGAUUCCUUCACACACUCACCUGUGCUCUCCAAAGCAGGAAAAGGCUGGCUGCUGCAUGUUGCCCUGAAAGUCCCAGGAGCUCUGCUGAAAGGAAAAGAUUAAUAAACCUUGCAAUAGAAAACUGCAAGGAUGAAACUGUCCUGCAGUGGCUGAGAGAAAAUUCAGAGUCUGGCACCUUCAGAAAACUCUCAGACAUGUUUGAUUUCCUGAAAAGUAAAAUUGAUGAGGAAGAAAAGAAGAACCAUGAUGACACUGUUGACAUAAUCUUUGUGGCACAUGGAGCAAUCAGAGACUCCAUGAUCCCAGCCAAGUGUUUGCUGCCUCUGCCCACCAUCACUGACCUGGUCCUGUACUCUCCCUGGAACUGUGCCACCACACCUGAAGUGACCUAUGGCAUUGCAACAGGAAAAAUGAGGCCACAGCACAGAGUUUUUCACCGAAGACUUCCACUACCGUUUUUUUUCCACGGUGCAAUUGUUGUUCACAACUAUCAACCCCUGAACCUGCCAAACUACUGGAACUCACUGAAGAAAGCUGGAGGACGGAAGAUCCCAAACAUCAUUGUUAGCCCUCUGCAGGAAGAUGAAAGAGUGUGGAAAAAA
ensembl:lncRNA